ACGUAGGGUGCAAGCGUUAAUCGGAAUUACUGGGCGUAAAGCGUGCGCAGGCGGUUGUGCAAGACAGAUGUGAAAUCCCCGGGCUCAACCUGGGAACUGCAUUUGUGACUGCACAGCUUGAGUGCGGUAGAGGGUAGUGGAAUUCCCGGUGUAGCAGUGAAAUGCGUAGAGAUCGGGAGGAACAUCUGUGGCGAAGGCGACUGCCUGGACCAGCACUGACACUGAGGCACGAAAGCGUGGGGAGCAAACAGGA
rnacentral:rRNA from 1 species